GGUAUAUGUAUAUGUAAGUUGCUCUGGAUAAGAGCAUCUGCUAAAUGACUAAAA
rfam:Salmo salar isolate Sally breed double haploid chromosome ssa05, whole genome shotgun sequence.